UACGUAGGCAGCGAGCGUUGUUCGGAGUUACUGGGCGUAAAGGGUGUGUAGGCGGUUUUCUAAGUCUGGUGUGAAAUCUCCCGGCUCAACUGGGAGGGUGCGCCGAAAACUGGAAGGCUAGAGUGCGGGAUGGGUAAGUGGAAUUCCUGGUGUAGCGGUGAAAUGCGCAGAUAUCGGGAAGAACACCCGUGGCGAAGGCGGCUCUCUGGGACGGUACUGACGCUGAGACGCGAAAGCGUGGGGAGCGAACAGG
rnacentral:rRNA from 1 species